rnacentral:rRNA from 1 species
UACGGAGGGUGCGAGCGUUGUCCGGAAUUACUGGGCGUAAAGGGCGCGUAGGCGGAUAGUUUAGUCAGAGGUGAAAGCCCAGGGCUCAACCUUGGAAUUGCCUUUGAUACUGGCUGUCUUGAGUUCGGGAGAGGUGAGUGGAAUGCCGAGUGUAGAGGUGAAAUUCGUAGAUAUUCGGCGGAACACCAGUGGCGAAGGCGACUCACUGGCCCGAUACUGACGCUGAGGCGCGAAAGCGUGGGGAGCAAACAGG